rnacentral:rRNA from 1 species
GGCUCAGAACGAACGCUGGCGGCGUGCUUAACACAUGCAAGUCGAACGCGAAAGGGACUUCGGUCCUGAGUAAAGUGGCGCACGGGUGAGUAACGCGUAGAUAACCUGUCUUCAUGCUGGAAUAAUACGCCGAAAGGGGUACUAAUACCGGAUAUUCUUGCUUUUCAUAAGUUAUGCAAGCAAAGGUGGCCUCUGCAUAUGCUACUGCAUGAAGAGGGGUCUGCGUACCAUUAGUUAGUAGGUGGGGUAAUGGCCUACCUAGGCGACGAUGGUUAGCGGGUCUGAGAGGAUGAUCCGCCACACUGGCACUGGAACACGGGCCAGACUCCUACGGGAGGCAGCAGUGAGGAAUAUUGCGCAAUGGGGGAAACCCUGACGCAGCGACGCCGCGUGAGUGAGGAAGGCCUUCGGGUCGUAAAGCUCUGUCAAGAGGAAAGAAGUGUACAAUGGCUAAUACCUGUUGUAUUUGACGGUACCUCUAAAGGAAGCACCGGCUAACUCCGUGCCAGCCGCCGC